GGGGAGACGCUGGUGGUAGCGCGGGGGGGGUUCGCCCGCGUCCCCGAGGUUCCCCGCAGAUCCCGCCCGUGGUUCACAAAUCGCUUCCUCGGCGUAACUGCGCGGGAGCCGGGCUCCCUCCGCGCGCCGCUGGCGCUGUCGGAGCCGCUGUGGCGACAGCAGCGGCCCCCUCGCUCCCGCCCUCCGUCGCUCGCGCCGUCCCUCCGCCGCGCUGCGGGUCGCGCGCCCCGCGCGAGGCAGUCACGGCUGGCGAGCCGUUGGCGGCGUCCGCCCCGCUCGCGCGGGACUGAGGAGGACUUGCUAAUUAACGUACAGACGGGGGAGCGAUCUCCGAAGGAAGGGAAAAAAUACCCCGUUGCACCUGCCCCGCCGAGACCCGCCGUCUGAAUCUGGAGGAGAGCUAUAAAUCAUGUAAAGUGUUCGCGGUGGAGUCGGCUUCUGAGAGCUGUAGGAUUAUGUAUCCAAAUGCUGAAUUUAUAUUUCCCACUAGGAAAAGACUGAAACUCAGGGUGCCAUCUGCUGUUCAGUUCAUUGCCGUGGUGUUGCAGUGUGCCUUCUCUGACCUUGUUCCAUUCCACAUUCAGCAACCUGCAUCUGGCUGGUUAAUACAGGAUUAUAGGGUAAUUUACAUUGGAAACCUUCUCAGGAGGUCUCUAGACCAACCUCUGGUUCAAACCAAGUGAACAGAAAGUGUUCAUGCCAUUGUUUGAAAAGUAAUCACUUCCCAAAUCUCCUACCUACCUAACAUGAGACCCUGACGUAAGAAAACACUGAGUGAAAACUGACUCCUAGGAUAUUACUGGAUACUAGGACAUUACCAGAGGCUGAAGUUCAACUGAGAAUAAGGCACACAAUCUUAAUCAUGAAGGCUUAAUACCUUCAGAGAGAGUUCAUUCUAACCAGAAGAUAUAAAUCUUUUCACUACAUUGUCUGGAGCUUGCAACUCCGCUAUGAAGGGGAAGAAGUCUGUCACAAUUCAACUGAUGAUAGAAGAAUAGACCAUUGUGCAAUGCUGUGCUGGAUGAAUCUUUUCGGAGAGAUGAGCUGUUACCCGGCACUACUUAAGAGAAUCCCUCAAAGCUAAAGAAAAAAUUGUCUGCUUGUAUAACUACAGAAGUGUCAGGAGACCCUUAGGUUCAGAAGCAUCUGAAUAAAUCCAUGAGGACAUCUGUAGUGAAAUCUUGGCCUAAUUACCUCUAUCAGAAAAAUAUAACAUUUUACUUCCAUAGAGCCAUAACUUUUUCCUGGUGUCCAACCCUUCCUAUCUGUCCUUACUAUAUAAGAACUUUCUUUCACAUAACCUGUAUAAAGUGAUCACAUUUACACAAGUCUGAAGCCAGCUUUCUGUCUUGUCAAAAGGUCAAACCACAUUACUCUCAUUAAAAGUGAGAAAACUUUUAAAUGGAAAUAUCAUUUUCUCUAACUCUUCAGCAAGCAAGACUAAACCUUGAAAACCUAAGUGAGUAAAUUUCAGACCUUAUGCCACUGCAGUUGUCAUACUGACAGAAAGGGACACAAUAUAUAUCUAAAAGCUUCAGGAAAGUUAAAAUCCCUCCAAAAUGCAUUUAUUCUUAUUUAGUUAUUUGCGAUAAUUCUCCUUUAACUUCAUAUCUCAGUCCUCUUCAUGGUAAUAUAAAGUAACUUCUAGCUAAUCUAAUAUUCCCCUGGUUAAAUAUAAAUUCCAGUUCUUUUCACUUGUCCUUUAUGUUGCCCCUUUCUCUCUUUCUUCUUGCGCACCCUUUACUCUGAUGUCUUUGUUUCAUUAAGUGCUGGAAUGCAGCAGGAGAAAUUUAUUUUUCAUCAGAAUGGCAAAACUGUCCAGCAUCAUCAAAUUGCCAGAUAGGGGUUUUCAGACUUCAGUCUUCAAAGAAGAUUCCAUCUCCCAUGCAGCAGAGAAAAAUAUCAUGCUGUAAUUCAUUAAGUAUUUUUUUAAAGGCUCCCCCAAGACGAGAAACCAACUGUGAACAAUUGGUUAAAUCACAGAUCUACAGAAAGAACACGUUUUUAGUGCAAUACGAUACAGCGGUUUCUCUAUGUGUCUUCUGCAAGCCUAGAAACACUUAAUAUUUUUAAUAACUUUAAAGAAAAAUGUUGACUUUUAAAAAUAGUAUUGUUCUGGAAUAGAAUAAAAUAUAUUUGAACAACUUCUACACACAGUAUGUGCUAAUGACCUGAAUGGCUCUGAAACGGUCAGAAUAAACACGAUCCCACAAAAUGUGACCCUUAGUCAUUCUGCUGAAUAUCUGUUACAGGGCCAAAGUAGCUCCUGCAGAGUUGAACAGCAGCCUCUUUUAUCAUAGUGAGCGAGCUUCUGGAUUAAGAUUCUCAGAAGUUAUUAGGAAUAUAGGUGCGUCAUUUACACAUGUGCCACAUUUCAUGCUCCUAAAAAUCAGAUCUCUUUAAGAAAAUCCUGCAUUAAGACUGUUUCAAAAAUGGGACCUCUUAGGGGCAGCUGCAGAGGAGACAUUCAAAAUCAAAAUUCAAAAUCACACAAGAAACUUCUUAGUACCUUGGACUCGGUUGUUUAUUAACAGGUUUGUUGUAGAUCGCAAAAAUGUCUACUUCUAAUUAGGUUACAGACUGCAACCUUGUAGGAUCCUGCUAUCAGCUACAUUUACAGUUACCUUAUUAAUUAAUAACAUGCUGAAAGAACCUAAAUUCAGUGUAGACAUACUCAGUUUGUAAUGGAAGAACUCUGUAUGGUGAGAAAGGCUGGAAAUAUAAUAUUUUUCUUUAACUUUUUAAUGAAAUGUGGAUUUUGCUUGUUAUUGAAUUAUUUUUCUUUAGCUAUUAGGAGUGAUGUUGCUGUUAGAAAUCUUGUGCUCUACAUCAAAACUUUGGGGGUGAGGUACCCACACACCCCCAAACACACCCCCACCCCAAAAAAAAAAAACCCCAAACCAAACCACAACCAAAAAAACCCACAGAAACAAACAAACAAAACCUGAAAUACAAAAGAAAGCAGAUAACAGCUAUAUUUCUAAGUAUAGAACAACCUUUACCUUUCAGUAGCAGAGAACUGGUAAGUUGGUUCAGCAGUCUCAAAGAACCACAUCUGAAGGAUGCUGUUCCAUGAGUUUGAAAUGUUCUAAAUUUUCAGCCCAAAACAGGUUGCAUUGCUCAGGAGAUUAAACUGGCAAAACGAAAUACUGCUCAUUGAAGGGUUUUCUGUUCUUCGUCAACACUCAAGAAAAAUAAAAAGCUGCUGCUAAGCUGGGCAAGUAUUUCUUUUUCUGAUACAGAAAGUAACUUUCGAAAUAUUUAUUGUCUCUAGAGACAAAAACCUCAGAAGGAGGUGAUUUUUUUUCCCCACAGCUCAAAGUAGUCUGUGUUAUCUUGUCGGCCAAGUACCUUUAUACCUGUACUUCUUACCAUGAAGGUGGAGAUCUAUGUCCUUUUGUCAUAAGCUGACUGACACAUUAAACUCUAACACGGACAUGGUUAUUUCCAUUCUUCACAUAAAUUAGCAGACUGAUUUCGCCCAAAUUUUCACCUCAAUAAUUUACGUCAAACCACUAAAUUUCAGGGAAACUGCAGAUAACCAAAUCUAUUUAAGAAUAUUAUGUGUUCGUUACUGUGAGAUAACCAACAUAUGAUAAGAUCAUUUUUUUUCUAGUAAAGGCUAUAUAAAUGGCCAAGUUUAGUUCCCAUUUAGCUAGUACUUGUUAAAAUUCUCUAUUUUUGGAAGCAGAAAUGCAAUGCUUCAUGGCUUGUUUCAGUAUAACAAUUAUCCCAUAACGCUAUAUAUCAAUUACCCCGUAACCAUAUUUAAACUAAGAUCUGAAAACAUAUAAUGAAGGUACCAAAAUUAUACCCUAAGACACACUAAUUGAAAAAUAAGAAAGGCGUUCUUAAAAAACAGACUAGAACACUUUAUCACAACCACCAAAUAUUAGCAAGCAGUCUAGAGCAAAUAUAUCCCAGUUAGGAUUCCCUACUGACCUAAACAUUAACAAAAUUUCACAUCCUGAAAUAUGAAUUCUAGUCGUAGCCUAUGAGAUGUAUGGCUGAUAGUUUUUCAGCAGGUUGCUACAAGUAGAAAAAAGAUCCUCAAACAUAUCAAAAAAGUCUGAAUUUUAUUCUUACUCCACUUAAUUAUUUCAUCUUGAGGACUAUCUGAAACAGCCUGAGGCAGGAGCAAGUAUUUUAAGUCUGACUAAGACUGGGUUGCCAUAUUUUUGACAUGUUCAAAAUAGAUACCUGGAUGAAACUUUGCUUUUAAGGAGAGGGGUGAACAAUAUAAUAAUUUACAAAUCCUUCAGCUACAGAAAAUUAGAAGAUCCUGUGUUUGCACUCAGAAAUCUUAGCACAAAUAGGUCUGCUGUAACAUUACUUCAAAAACACAGUAAAUAAAGUGUAACUCCCCAUAAACAGUUAAGAACUGUUGGCCUCUUCAUAUCCAUAUCUUCAACAUUGUGUCAUACUGUUUUCACAAGAAUGCUCUCCAAACAGUUUUCAAGGUUAAUUUUGCUGUUACUCCCUCCGGCAGGGUAAGAAGAUAAUUCUGUCUCCUCGCUAAUUUCUUUCCCAGCUUGUUUGAUAUCAGUAACUUGUACCAAAGCUAAAUGAAGUUUUCAUCUUUUGUCAAGGCCACUGUUUGAAUUUGUCUGUUAUGUUUCUGAAGGUAAUACUGAUACUUCAAAGGACGCAGGAAAAAACAUAGGAAGCUUCUUGUUAGUGAGAUUGCUGAGAAUUUUUAAUACCUUCAGUGACAACAUUGUAGGGCAAGCUGCUGUAUUUUUCCAUUUCUAUUUCUGAGUAAUUAAAAUUGAAGAGGAUUUGCCUGAACCUGAUCAAACAUAUUUGCCCCUGUGGCUGUAAAACAGAUUGGAGGGAAAAUAAAACCAAAACCUGUUAGUCACAAUGUCAAACAUUAAGAUAUAAAUUAGCUGUAUAAGCCUUAAAGUUUUACUUAUAUUUCUUACAUUAGUAAUUCUACUGAAACAAGACUAUUCUUCAGAGUAUAAACAUGUAAUAUUUUUUAAUUUGGGGGGUGUGAUGCUUUUGGACACAGGCAGCUUAGUUGUUGAUGAAAUUAAUAGAUUCAGACUUAAACUGAGGACUAGAUGCAACAACAGUACUAUAUGCUCAGAAAUCCGCUUUAUUAAUGCACAACUUUCAAGUUUGAACAAGCUCCUAAAUACUAAAAUAUGAACUUUGGUUCAAUGUAUAGGACAAAAACUUUUGAGCCUGCUGCUGUCAAUCAACAUAAUUUCAGCCCACAAAUCUUUACUCAUUUACACCAGCUGAGGACCUUACUUUGUAAUUGAGGCUAACAGAUUGUUCAGAAGUGCUACCACCAUUUCCUAAUCACUCAAGAAAAUGUUUGAAGUACUUGAAAUCUUGUGAGCCAAUCCACAUAUUUACAGGUGAAAGCAAUCCUCACAUUUUAUUAACAUGUACGUAUUUUUCCACCAACCUCUGAAAUGCAUUAUUUUUAAAAAUUUUAUCCAAUGACAAUAAUAAUGUGUAAUCUAUAUGGAACCUGUAAUAAGAGCUCAAGCAAACAAAUGUCAACGAAAGCGAUCCACACUUGAUAAUGUUUUAUAUUAACAAAAGGCCCUC